GUGGGGUGGGGGGGGCGGGCCGGGUUCCCGCCGCUGCUCCGCCCGCCCCAUGGCUCUGCCCGGGGCGCCGGGCGCCGCCCGCCCCGCUCCGCCCGCCCGGCGCCCGGGGAACCGCCGGCCCUGAACCGGCAGCGCUGCCGCCGCCGCGACCGAAGGGAAGUGGCCCCCGGGCUCCUCCUGCGCCAAGCAAAAGCCCUGAGGGAGGAGGAAGAAGAGGAGAAGGAGGAGGAGGAGGAGAAGAGGGGGGGAGGAAGGAAGAAAAGGAAAGGGAGGAAAAAAAAAAGCAGGAGAAGGAAGAGCUUGGGCCGGAGCCAAGGCAGACCUGGAGCGGCCGGAGGGGACCCUGGACUCCCCCAGGACACCUGUGACCAGCUGGGAGACCCCCAG